UAUGUAGGCGGUUGGACAAGUCAGACGUGUAAGCCCGUGGCUCAACCACGGAAUUGCGUUUGAAACUGUUUAACUUGAGUGCAGGAGAGGAAAGCGGAAUUCCCAGUGUAGCGGUGAAAUGCAUUGAUAUUGGGAAGAACAUCGGUGGCGAAGGCGGCUUUCUGGCCUGAUACUGACGCUCAGAUACGAAAGCUAGGGAGCGAACG
rnacentral:rRNA from 1 species